rnacentral:rRNA from 1 species
AACGUAGGGGACAAGCGUUAUCCGGAUUUACUGGGCGUAAAGCGCCCGUAGGCGGCUUUUUAAGUUGGACGUGAAAGCUCCCGGCUUAACUGGGAGAGGCCGUUCAAAACUGAGAGGCUAGAGUGAGGCAGAGGAGCGCGGAAUUCCCGGUGUAGUGGUGGAAUGCGUAGAUAUCGGGAGGAACACCAGUGGCGAAAGCGGCGCUCUGGGCCUAAACUGACGCUGAGGGGCGAAAGCGUGGGGAGCAAACAGG